GCCGGAUUAGCUCAGUUGGCAGAGCGUUGCAUUCGUAAUGCAAAAGUCCGCGGUUCGAAUCCGCGAUCCGGCACCA
rnacentral:tRNA from 1 species